rnacentral:tRNA from 1 species
GGGUCGUUAGCUCAGUUGGUAGAGCAGUUGACUUUUAAUCAAUUGGUCGCAGGUUCGAAUCCUGCCCGACCCACCA